CGUGCUUAACACAUGCAAGUCGAGCGGUAAGGCCUUUCGGGGUACACGAGCGGCGAACGGGUGAGUAACACGUGGGUGAUCUGCCCUGCACUCUGGGAUAAGCCUGGGAAACUGGGUCUAAUACCGGAUAUGACUCCAGCAUGCAUGUGCUGGGGUGGAAAGCUUUUGUGGUGCAGGAUGGGCCCGCGGCCUAUCAGCUUGUUGGUGGGGUAAUGGCCUACCAAGGCGACGACGGGUAGCCGACCUGAGAGGGUGACCGGCCACACUGGGACUGAGACACGGCCCAGACUCCUACGGGAGGCAGCAGUGGGGAAUAUUGCACAAUGGGCGGAAGCCUGAUGCAGCGACGCCGCGUGAGGGAUGAAGGCCUUCGGGUUGUAAACCUCUUUCAGCAGGGACGAAGCGUGAGUGACGGUACCUGCAGAAGAAGCACCGGCUAACUACGUGCCAGCAGCCGCGGUAAUACGUAGGGUGCGAGCGUUGUCCGGAAUUACUGGGCGUAAAGAGUUCGUAGGCGGUUUGUCGCGUCGUUUGUGAAAACCCGGGGCUCAACUUCGGGCUUGCAGGCGAUACGGGCAGACUUGAGUGUUUCAGGGGAGACUGGAAUUCCUGGUGUAGCGGUGAAAUGCGCAGAUAUCAGGAGGAACACCGGUGGCGAAGGCGGGUCUCUGGGAAACAACUGACGCUGAGGAACGAAAGCGUGGGUAGCAAACAGGAUUAGAUACCCUGGUAGUCCACGCCGUAAACGGUGGGCGCUAGGUGUG
rnacentral:rRNA from 1 species